rnacentral:rRNA from 1 species
AAAAACUGCAAAGCUAGGGAGUGGGAGAGGUAGACGGUACUCGGUAGGAAGGGGUAAAAUCCUUUGAUCUAUUGAUGACCACCUGUGGCGAAGGCGGUCUACCAGAACACGUUCGACGGUGAGGGAUGAAAGCUGGGGGAGCAAACCGGAUUAGAUACCCGGGUAGUCCCAGCUGUAAACGAUGCAGACUCGGUGAUGCCCUGGCUUGUGGCCAGUGCAGUGCCGCAGGGAAGCCGUUAAGUUUGCCGCCUGGGAAGUACGUACGCAAGUAUGAAACUUAAAGGAAUUGGCGGGGGAGCACCACAAGGGGUGAAGCCUGCGGUUCAAUUGGAGUCAACGCCAGAAAUCUUACCCGAGGAGACAGCAGAAUGAAGGUCAAGCUGGAGACUUUACCAGACAAGCUGAGAAGUGGUGCAUGGCCGUCGCCAGCUCGUGCCGUGGGAUGUCCUGUUAAGUCAGGUAACGAGCGAGAUCCCUGCCUCUAGUUGCCACCAUUACUCUCAGGAGUAGUGGGGCGAAUUAGCGGGACCGCCGUAGUUAAUACGGAGGAAGGAAGGGGCCACGGCAGGUCAGUAUGCCCCGAAACUCUGGGGCCACACGCGGGCUGCAAUGGUAACGACAAUGUGUUCCGAAUCCGAAAGGAGGAGGUAAUCCAGAAACGUUACCACAGUUAUGACUGAGGGCUGCAACUCGCCCUCACGAAUAUGGAAUCCCUAGUAACUGCGUGUCAUUAUCGCGCGGUGAAUACGUCCCUGCUCCUUGCACACACCGCCCGU